rnacentral:ncRNA from 1 species
ACAAUGAUACUUCCGUAAUUCGCGGCCCGGCUAUAAUGCAGGCGGGGGUAGAUUUUAAUGG